rnacentral:lncRNA from 1 species
UAACAUAGAGAUCCUGCCACCGGAAGUCCUCUGCUCCUACAGGCCGUUUCUCUCGGCAAGCCGGAAGGAUGAUAAGCCUUGCGGCGGUGCAGAGGUUCUGAAUCUCGACUUGGCGAUGCCCUCUAGCGGCGCUGCUAACCGAUUGCCCUCCUCCUAAACAGCCCGCGCGACGGGACCCGCAAAGUCGUAGUGUCAGUCAUACUAGUAGCAGUGCCAAUCAGAACUGCCUGACCAACUUUUUUCCUAUUUUGUGUGCUCGCUGUAUUCUUUUUGUGCCCCUUCGUGUCCCCUCCGUAUUCGCCGGUGCAUACUGCCCUGUAGUUUUUUUUCCCCACGGCCUUUCUGUGUUUAUGAUACGUUUACAGAUGUAAAAAACUGCAGCCAUUGCGGCUGUUGAACAGUGAAUGCAAUACCACAGAUUUGUAACUGUUGACCCAGUAAUGAACUCGUCUAGGCUGUAAGCUGUGUCGAAUUCCUUUUGGUGUCUUAACUGUAAUCGUACAUGACGCUGUGAAAUUGUACAUGAAACCUGUAAAGAAUUUCUUUCGAUUGCCUGGCGAGGUCAUAGCCGUCCCAACCUUUAACCAAACAUGUUAGUGCAAAUGAUGAGCAAACAUGGCAUGUGAUUCGAACAUUACUGGCUACGCACAAGUAGUUGAUCUCUUUGUUGCAGAAUUUUGUGAUCAACCUGUUUGGUGCAUGCGCUCCUGUAAACAUAGGAGUCCUGUGACGACGUUCCUUCUUUUUAUUUAAUCAUUCAUAAAUAAAGAAUUUUGCGGCACUAGUUUGGAAAUGGUGGUAGAAAUCCAGUAUACGUGUAUACAUUUUGGCAUUGGCCAUCAGGCGUACAAGUCCAUAUAAAAUUUUAAGUGAGUGUUGACAUCAAAGUCGAUAUGUCCGAGUGGUUAAGGAGACAGACUCGAAAUCUGUUGGGCUUUGCCUGCGCAGGUUCGAAUCCUGCUGUCGACGAUUCACUUUUUUUUUCUUUCUUUUGCAGUAACCUUUAUUGUCAACUGUCCCUUUAAAAAGAAAAAUUUGAAGUGUUUUUUUUCGGAAACUGUAAGAUUUUGUUGGUGCAAUCUUUGUAACUAUCUUCAUGUGCAAUGAAUUCCCAUAAAAAAAUGUUCAUGUACCGAACAAUGUGUCGAGUAAAAAUACAGGGUCUUGUAAGGAACAGUGUGUCGUCGAAUCCUGCUGUUGGCGAUUCAACCUUUUUUUUUUUUGCUUCUGCUUCUUUGUGGAUUUUGUCAUGUGCUACUGUCAGAUUUUUUUGAUGAAAUGAACGGUGCGUUACGUCAGUUAAUGUGCAGUGCAGUAGCUGGAGUAAGAUAUAGGCCAUUGGCUUCCUGAGAUUGGGCUACCAAUGACCCUCAACUAUCUAAGUUGCACGUUUGGAAAUCAUAGUGGAGACUUGCCUCAAAGGUAGGUACUUCAGCUGUCUCCCGAAUUUAUUGGGAUGGGCAGCAGCUGAAGCUGAAGCUCUCCUUUAGGAGAGGUUUUCACUGACAGGGUCAUGGAGCUAUGGUUUCAGGCAGUGGACAUUGCCUCUUCUUUGUCUUAACCGAGGAAUAGCGUCGUUUGGAAGCUGGAUGACUCUGGGGCCUAUACUUCACAAUCUUUAUACGCUGUCAUCAACUUUAGGGGUUCGGGAUUUACCCUGUUUUUUGUUUAUUAUUGUUCCUGCUGUUUGGCAAUUACAAGCCCCUCCUUAGGAUGCAUGUUUUUCUUUGGUUUCGUUAUUACUUGCCCAUAACAAAACUGCUGACACGUGAUGACCUUUUAAAACGACAACACAUACCUAAUCACAGCUGCCCGUUAUGUUCUGAAACUGAAAACAGAGAACACUUGCUCUUUUCCUGUGGCAUUGCUCGCCUUUAUUGGAACUAGAAACCUCGCACGCCAUAUGGUCAGCCCUAGCGAACAUGUUCGCUGCCCAAUCCCGUUCUCGUGUGAACAACUGCCGCAUCUCCCUCUCCAAUGCACAGAAAGGCUCUCUGAGCGCCUCUGCAUACUUUGGGCAGAUGAGAGCGCUCUCGGAUGAGCUAGCUGCCGCCGGGAGUCUCAUAACUGAAGGAUAUCUUCUUUCUUUCAUCAUUGCAGGGCUUGACAUGGAUUACCAACCCUUGAUCUCUGAUGUUUUCCAAGUUUUCCAACACUUUCAAGCACUUGUUGAACGUCAAUUCGAUAGCAAAAUUCUUGCGGUCCAAUCUGAUUGGGACAGUGAGUAUGAGAAACUAGAUUUGUUUUUUCAAACCUUUGGUAUUUCUCAUCAUGUGUCAUGUCCCCAUGUGCAUCAGCAGAAUGGCUCAGCUGAGCGCAAACAUAGGCACAUAGCUGAGGUAGGCCUAGCCCUCCUUGCUGGCGCUUCCAUGCCUCUCAAAUUUUGGGAUGAGGCCUUUCUUACCGCAUUCCAUCUCAUUAACAUGCUUCCUAGUCGUGUUCUACAAAAUGAUACACCCAUGCAUAGACUACUCAAUACUCGACCAGAUUAUCACUCUCUUCGCGUGUUUGGAUGUGCUUGUUGGCCCAAUUUGCGUCCCUACAACAACUGCAAACUUCUGUUCCGUUCCAAACAAUGCGUUUUUCUUGGCUAUAGUGCUAAGCACAAAGGCGUUAAAUGCUUAGAUGUUCCUACUAGUCGAGUAUAUAUCUCUCGUGAUGUCGUCUUUGAUGAAAUCGUCUUUCCUUUCGCUCAUUUACACCCUAAUGCCGGUGCCUUGCUUCGCAAAGAAAUCCUUCUUUUACCCUCUCAUUUGACCGGUUUUCAGCAUAGGGAUGGCAAUUGUACUGAUCAUAUGACUAAUGCUUUAACCCUGAAAAAGAGCAUUGUGGUGAUGCAGGGUCAAAUCAGGAGGUAGCAGAAAAAAAUUGAGGACAAACGGUGAAGAAAACAGUCCAAACGGCCUCAAUUUCAUGUGUCCGCUACGUGCCAACCCUGCAGCCGGAUCCUCCUCGGGAUCGGCAACUGCAGAUCUGACAGCAUCCGCCCCGGGACCGAUGCAGCGGCCAAAGGCGCCACUCCUUCCAUCUGCGCACACGUCGCCUUGCGGGGACAGGCGAACCGACCGGUUCGAUGCGAUCCCACGUGUGGCAAAUUUUCGUGUUUUGACCCUUUUCUGAGACCUAUUCGAGAUCUGACCCUAGUUUGAAUUUUUUUUGAGAUCUGACCCUUUUGCUACCGCCAGGGUCCAUGGCGGUAGGGUGUAACAGCCUACCGCCAGGGACCUUGGCGGUAGGAAACAUCCCUACCGCCAAAUAGACUGGCGGUAGCCUGUACACCCCUACCGCCAAGGUGCUCAGCGGUAGGCACAAGCACGCACUGUGUUCAAUACUUAGGAGGAUUUUGGGGUAGGGCAUGCAACCCUACCGCCAGGGGCCUUGGCGGUAGGCUGUUAUGCCCUAGCGCAAUGUGUUGGAAAUAUGCCCUAGAGGCAAUAAUAAAUAGGUUAUUAUUAUAUUUCCUUGUUCAUGAUAAUCGUUUAUUAUCCAUGCUAGAAUUGUAUUGAUAGGAAACUCAGAUACAUGUGUGGAUACAUAGACAACACCAUGUCCCUAGUAAGCCUCUAGGAGACUAGCUCGUUGAUCAAUAGAUGGUUACGGUUUCCUGACCAUGGACAUUGGAUGUCGUUGAUAACGGGAUCAUAUCAUUAGGAGAAUGAUGUGAUGGACAAGACCCAAUCCUAAGCCUAGCACAAGAUCGUGUAGUUCGUUUGCUCAGAGCUUUUCUAAUGUCAAGUAUCACUUCCUUAGACCAUGAGAUUGUGCAACUCCCGGAUACCGUAGGAAUGCUUUGGGUGUACCAAACGUCACAACGUAACUGGGUGGCUAUAAAGGUGCACUACGGGUAUCUCCGAAAGUGUCUGUUGGGUUGGCACGAAUCGAGACUGGGAUUUGUCACUCCGUGUAAACGGAGAGGUAUCUCUGGGCCCACUCGGUAGGACAUCAUCAUUAUGUGCACAAUGUGACCAAGGAGUUGAUCACGGGAUGAUGUGAGUUACGGAACGAGUAAAGAGACUUGCCGGUAACGAGAUUGAACAAGGUAUAGGGAUACCGACGAUCGAAUCUCGGGCAAGUAACAUACCGAUGGACAAAGGGAAUUGCAUACGGGAUUGAUUGAAUCCCCGACAUCGUGGUUCAUCCGAUGAGAUCAUCGUGGAACAUGUGGGAGCCAACAUGGGUAUCCAGAUCCCGCUGUUGGUUAUUGACCGGAGAACGUCUCGGUCAUGUCUGCAUGGUUCCCGAACCCGUAGGGUCUACACGCUUAAGGUUCGAUGACGCUAGGGUUAUAGGGAAAGCAUGUACGUGGUUACCGAAUGUUGUUCGGAGUCCCGGAUGAGAUCCCGGACGUCACGAGGAGUUCCGGAAUGGUCCGGAGGUAAAGAUUUAUAUAUGGGAAGUCCUGUUUUGGUCACCGGAAAAGUUUCGGGUGAAAUCGGUAAUGUACCGGGACCACCGGGAGGGUCCCGGGGGUCCACCAAGUGGGGUCACCAGCCCCAGAAGGCUGCGUGGGCCAAGUGUGGGAGGGGACCAGCCCCAGGUGGGCUGGUGCGCCCCCCCACCAAGGCCCAAGGCGCAUGGGAGAGUGGGAGGGGGCAAACCCUAGGUCCAGAUGGGCCUUAGGGCCCAUCUAGUGGGGCGCCUCCCCCUCUCCUCCCCUUGGCCGCCCCCCUUGAUGGGAUCUAGGGCUGGCCGCCUCCUCUUGGGGGUGGAAACCCUAAGGGGGGCGCAGCCCCCUUCCCCCCUAUAUAUACUUGAGGUUUGGGCUGCCAUACACACACGAGAAAGUCUCCUUUUGGUGCUGCCCUACCCCUCUCCCUCCUCCUCCUCUCCCGCGGUGCUUGGCGAAGCCCUGCGGGAUUGCCACGCUCCUCCUCCACCACCAUGCCGUCGUGUUGCUGCUGGAUGGAGUCUUCCCCAACCUCUCCCUCUCUCCUUGCUGGAUCAAGGCGUGGGAGACGUCACCGGGCUGCACGUGUGUUGAACGCGGAGGCACCGUUCUUUCGGUGCUUAGAUCGGAAUCAACCGCGAUCUGAAUCGCUACGAGUACGACUCCCUCAUCCGCGUUCUUGCAACGCUUCCGCAUCGCGAUCUACAAGGGUAUGUAGAUUCACUCCCCUUCCCCUCGUUGCUAGAUUACUCCAUAGAUUGAUCUUGGUGAUGCGUAGAAAAUUUUGAAUUUCUGCUACGUUCCCCUACACAAUGGACCCUGGCGGUAGCAAAAGGGUCAGAUCUCGAUUUUUUUUAAACAAGGGUCAGAUCUCGAAUAGGUUUCAGAAAAGGGUCAAAACAUGAAAUUUAGCCCCGCGUGUCUAUGCGAGGCGCGCCAACCACCAAUCACGCGCGGGCGCUGAUCCUCGGCUGGAUGCGGAGGCGUGUGCGCUGGGUUUAGCAGCUAGAGCGCCAAGAUCUUCUGUGCCGCCCGCCUCCACGUCACGCCUUGGCCUGACCACAGAAGAUCCAACAUCUGCCACCAACAACAAAUCUGCUCCGGGAUCGCCGAGAACUCCUGUAGCAGACCAGUCUUCAGGAUCGUCUGUGAUAGUUUCUGAUGCAGUGGUGCAGCAAGUUCAAACCCCGCCGUGUGCAAGGUUAAGAGCGGGUGUAAUUCAACAUGUUAAUUAUAAAGUUAAGUUUGGUUUAACCUGCUUCACAGGAGAACCUAGUACGUUUCAGGAAGCAUGCAAAGAUGCAAGGUGGAGAAAAGCUAUGGAAGAAGAAUUCCAAGCACUUCAGGAAAAUAAAACCUGGCAUCUAGUUCCUUCAGAACAAGGUAAAAUUUUGAUUGAUUGCAAAUGGGUAUUCAGAAUAAAGAAAAAGUCAGAUGGUACCUUAGACAGAUAUAAGGCUAGACUUGUUGCAAAGGGAUUCAAACAGAGAUAUGACAUAGACUAUGAAGAUACGUUCAGUCCCGUUGUUAAAGCCGCCACUAUACGUCUUGUUUUGUCUAUUGCUGUAUCCAGAGGAUGGUGCCUUAGACAGCUAGAUGUGCAGAAUGCGUUCCUUCAUGGUGUCCUGGAAGAGGAAGUUUACAUGAAACAACCUCCUGGUUUUGAGGACAAAAGCAAACCUUUUCACAUAUGCAGGCUAGAUAAGUCUCUUUAUGGACUGAAACCGGCUCCUAGGGCAUGGUAUUCCCGGUUGAGUUCAAAGUUACAAGCGCUUGGUUUUGUUCCUUCAAAGUCUGACACAUCCUUGUUUAUUUAUAAUAAGUCACAUACUUCUAUUUUUGUGCUUAUUUAUGUUGAUGGCAUUAUUGUUACAAGCUCAUCAAAUGAAGCAGUGACAACCUUGUUGAAGGAUUUAAAUUCAGAGUUUGCUCUUAAGGACUUAGGAGACUUGCACUUCUUUCUUGGCAUAGAAGUUAAGAGAAAGAAGGAAGGUGGUCUUCAUCUGUCACAAGAAAAAUAUGCAACUGAUAUUUUGAACAGAGCUGGCUUGCAGGGUAGUAACUCCAUUAUCUAGCACAGAAAAGUUGUCUCUUGCAGAAGGAGAACUCCUGGAUCAGGAGAAUGGCACCAGGUACAGAGGUUUGGUUGGUGCACUUCAGUAUUUGACCUUGACUAGACUUGAUAUUUCUUUUGCUGUGAACAAAGUUUGUAAUUUCUUCAUGCACCUACAACAUCACAUUGGACAGCUGCCAAACGCAUACUAAGAUAUGUGAAGGGUACACUAGGGCUUGGUUUGACUUUCUGUAAGUCACCGUCCACAUUGGUUAGUGCUUUCUCUGACUCUGGUUGGGCAGGCUGUUUGGAUGAUAGAAGGUCUACAGGAGGAUUUGCCAUAUUCCUUGGACCCAAUUUAAUUUUAUGGUGUGCAAGGAAACAAGCUACAGUGUCAAGAUCAAGUACUGAAGCAGAGUAUAAAGCGUUGGCAAAUGCAACGGCAGAAAUUAUAUGGGUUAAGUCCAUGCUUAAAGAGCUUGGAAUACAUCAUUCUCCACCUCCAUGUCUUUGGUGUGAUAAUCUAGGUGCCACGUAUCUUUCAGCUAAUCCCGUUUUUCAUGCACGGACUAAGCAUAUUGAGAUUGAUUAUCAUUUUGUGAGGGAAAGAGUUGCAAGCAAAGAACUGGAGAUACGGUUUGUACAUUCAAAAGAUCAAGUUGCUGAUGGUUUUACAAAGGCGCUACCUACAAGGGCGCUUGAAGAAUUCAAGCGUAAUCUUAACUUAGUAAAGUUAUGAUUAUGGGAGGGUGUUAAACGUAUAGGUUCAGGAGAUGUGGCGCAACGGUUUAUCUGGCUGAUAUUGUUGUAACUAGAGAUAGUUUAGAUAUUUUCUUAUCUCUAUCUUAUACCUCCUGUAAUCUCCUAUACGGUUGAUCUCCAACAACCUUUUCUUGUAACCUAAACCACAAUAUCAAUAUAUAACAUGUGGGUGCUCAUGUAUGGUUAUUGAGACGCUUUGAUACAAUCUCACAUUCCUCGCCCUUCGUGCUACCCAAUUUCACACUAAGAAUCUCUUAAGUCAUGUUUAUAUACACUUGCUCAUUUGCUUGUGUGUUAAUUCAUUCUUCAAUCAGUCUUCAGAUUAGUUGAAGAAAAUUAUAUUGUUAGUAUUCAUUUAUCUUUCUUUCUUCUUCGGUGUUAUUCUGAAUAAUCAAUGUCUCUCUUCUCAGUUUUUUCAGUGUCUCUUUUUACCAUGUCAGUCACUGAAGAAAAGUAUACUCAUAGUCCCCAUUCGUUGUUUCAUCAGAGUCCUUUUGAGCAAUCUUUCCUUCUUUUUUCUUUCAUUCACUUUCGUUAGUCUUGUGGCUGUUCUCCCUUUCUUUGUUUAGUCCUUCUCAUUUUUCUCAUACUGUUUAUUGAAAACUUUUCGUUUACUUCUUUCUUUUUCUUGUCAUUGUUCUCCUUUCAUUCUUCAAUUUUCAUUUUACCUUCAAUCCCUUUAUUCUUAGUUCAGGCAUUUAUUCCAGUAUAAUUCUUUAGUCAUUUGUUUAUUCAGUUUGUUCAUUCUUCAUUUUAUUUUCCUUCAACAUUUUGUUUUCUUCAGUCGAUGUUUUUUUUUCACUUUAGUAACUUUCUUUGGCAUUUUGCUUGCUUCUUCACCGUCUUCUAAUUAUUUAGUCAUCUUCUUGAGUUUUCAGUUUAUCUCUCCUUUUGUUUUUUCUCAUUUUUAUUAAUUAUUCAGUUUUUAUUGACUCUUUCAUUUAGCUUUUUCUCAAUUUCAUCAGUUUUCGUCCGUACUUUUAGGGUUCGGUGUCAUUUUGUUCAGUUCCGUGUUUAGUUUCAGUGUUAGGUGCCAUUUUCUUCAGUUCGGGUUAUCUUUUCGUUAGUAUCUAGAUUUUAAGCCCCUUUGUUUUUCUGUUUUUCUUAGUAAAUGUUCAGUCAAUCUUUACAUCAGUAAAAUCUGUUUCUUAGUCAUUAUUUUUUUCCUUCAAUAAGUUAUUUCAUUUUUUAGUUCUGAACUACUUUCAUUCUUCAGUCCAAGUUUUACAAUGACUCUAUUUCUAUAACUUCCUGUUCACUUUUCUUCAAAAGCAAACUAGAAUUCUGGGAUUUUUAGCUUAAGAGUUUGUUGAUAAAAAACAAGAAUAUGCAGAUGGCUGAUGGUAAAUAGUUUUUUUUCUUGGGAUUAGAGAGUUAUAUCUGCAGUCAGUGGUUUUGCAUCAGUAAUUUUCAGUGUUAUAAGGUGGCAUUUUCUUCAGUUUUUUGAGUUACCACAUAGGUAGGUUAGUUAUCUAGUUUAGCAUGUUUUCAGACAAUUUUCAUUUCUAUUUCCUUUUUAGUUUCGCAGCUUUCAAUUCUUCAUUUUCAGAUCAAAUAACGCGCUAGAAAUGGAUUGAAUGGGGUGUCACUGGCAUCCUAAGUCAAUAUUCAGUUUAUGAGUUAUCAAAUUGUGUUUUCAGUCUAUAUUCGUUUAGCAUUUCAGUACAAGACCGAUGACAGCGGUGUCACUUCCACUGGCUGUAGCAGCCAAGGAGGAGCUGCCUGUUGCCGGCGGGGCUCAAGCGGUGUUACUUUUUAGUGGCUGUAGCAGCAAAAACCAAAGCCCUAUAUAUUCUGAUGGCUAAACUGGUAAGUAUCUCAUCAACGAAAUACUUUAUCCACGUAUCUCGUCAUCAUGGUGCGUAUGUGUGUGUUUAAUAAUGUGAGGCUAAGGUCAACCAUCCACCUAAAUUUUUGGUACGCGUACAGCAUUUUAGUCUUUAUAGUGCACACUAAGUUUCUUUGUCAGUAAUUUGUCAAAAAAAAAAGUUUCUUUGUCAGUAACCAAUUAGCCAAGAGAAACAGACAUGCAAGGAGGGGAACGAGAGCAUGCAUGCAGCUAACAGUAAUUGUUAUUCUCUAUUUAUCAUUUUAGUUAUUUAGUUUUCAGUGUCAUUUGAUAAAAAAAUUUCUCGAAUACGCACGAGAGUGCGUAUUAUGCAUUAAAGAGGGAGUGGGGUAAAGAGCCCCUCCACGUUGGUGUUACAUGAUCAAAUUACAUGGAACCCAACUCCACACAAGAAACAUCUAAGCCUAUCCUCUCCCUGCAGCCCACGUUGUCAACUCUCCUAGGAAAGAGGCUAUGCCUCCUUUCAGCAGCCCCGCUUGCUUCCACGCCCGUCCCUCGUCAUCUAUCCUACCAAUUACAUGACAUAUCGAAGGUGUUGCUCCGUCCAAGACAAAUUGCGUUGCCGUGUUUCCAUAUCUCCCACAUUACAAGAGUGAGGACUGCCCGAAUGUCCUUCCCGCUGCGCCCGGACCCGGUCUUGCUCUCACACCAUGCGUGAAGUGCGUCGGACGGUGAUGGAAUCCAGUCCUGCUUGCCCAUGGCCUGGCAUAUGAUCGUCCAGAUCUGCCGGGUGAAUACACAGGUGAGAAGCAGACGGUUGAUUGUUUCCUCUCCUUGGUCACAUAACGGGCAUGCCUCCUGGUGAUCCAAUCCUCUGCGAGCUAGUUGAUCAGACGUCCAGCAUCGGUUGCGUAGGGCGAGCCAAAGGAAGAAGCGGCAUUGCAUGGGCGCCUUGGAUUUCCACGUAAAUUCCGCAGUUGGCGCAACUUCCCGGCUCCAGAACUUAGCCGCGUAGGCAGAUUUGGUCGAGAAGCAGCCGUUCGCCUCCCAAGCCCAGGAGACCGAGUCUUGUGCUCCCUCUUGAAGGGACUCGUCAUGGACUGCAGUCCAGAGGCCAAGGUAUUCUUGGAGCAGGGUCGGGGUGAGCUCCGGUCCAAUAUCACGUGCCCAACUUCCCUCCGAGAGAGCCUGAUGUACCGUUUGCGUUGCUCUUGUCUUGCUACGCACUUUCUUGCCCACGCGGGUGCACAGACCAAGUCCCAAGCCACCUUGCAUUGUCCUCCGUUAGCCCUAUCCUUGGCACACCAGAGGAAGUAAUUGCAUUAUCAGUAUGUGGUCGGUCAGUAUCCAAAAUUUAUUAGAGCUCGUUGGAAGUUUCUGAAGACAACGGUCAACAAAUUAUUUCGAGUUCAUGCAUGAGAUGCAUCCUAGAGUUCUUCAGUACUUCAUUCUUCCUGAGUAUUCGUUGAACAAAGAGAGAAGAUCAGUUUUCUUCUUUCUUCUUCAGUUAGUCUAUGUCCAUUCAUUCAGCCAUCAACUCUUCAGUUUCCAUUUAUGUGCUUUUUGUUGUCAGUCUUAGAUCAAGGUGGUGACUCGUGAGGGUUAUAGGAGUUUGUCAGUCUUGUCUGCCAUGUAUUUUUAUUCAUUUUUUACCAGAAAAAGUAUUUUCAUUCAUUUCAAAUUGCCACUGAUUUCCAGUUUGCCCCUCGGGGUUCAGUUAUUCUACGGAAGAUACAUAGUUCAGUUAUUCGACACUUUUGUGUUUCCAUAUGCCUAGUGUAGCUCUUUGAUAGUUCAUUUGGGAGUCAGCUUUCCUUUCUUCAUUUUCUCUAUGACCUGGCUAAGCUAUCAGUCAGUGGGCUAGAGUCUAGUUCUUAGUAGUCUUUCAUUCCUCCCUUCUUAGGGUUUGGCGCAGCGGUUCUGAUCACCAUCAAGAACAACACUCUGAAUGAACUGAAUAUGAUGAUUGUCUUCGACACCAUCUAAGUAGCAGAUUGUUCUUGUCUGUGUGGGACGGUAAUAGGCUUUUGCAAGGGCUGAGUGCAAACAUUUGCUUAAAGGUCUAAGACGGGAAGGUAGAAUUCGACAUGAAACUGGAUGGAAAACAGACUUUUUCCAGACUGAGCAUUGACUGAAAUUACAACAAUACAUGUGUCACAAACUGACUGGACAUAAAAAACGACCUAAAACCAAAUGGAAAAACACAUAACUGAUAACUAGACACUCCCAGGCCACUCUUUUCCUUGGCUCAUCUGUUCAAGACUGCCUCUACUCAAGUAGUUAAAUAUUCAAGCGUAUAAGUGUCUGACAAACAAAAAUAACAGAGUAUCUUCCAAAUCUUGUGCAGGAACAGAGGGACGGUUCAGCUAACGGCUUAGGCUAGUUUCACUGCCUAAAAAUGACACGAAAUCACGUACGCUUUCUUUGCGACACGAAAUCACGUACUGUAUUUAUAUGAUGUAAAUUCUUAGUUCUUAAGAACGAAAAUUAUAUACAUGAAGAGAAUCAACAAUAUAAAGUGGACAAAGAGGAAACAGAGCAAAAACAGUCUAUAAUAUUCUAUUCUACUACAUCAUGUUCUAGCAAUGGUUCCUGGAUCACUUGUACAGAUCAUCUUCAUCCUCAUCAGCUGCCGCGGUGGUGUCAGCAGCAGCUUCUGCCGCCUGUGGCUGCGCCGGGAAGCGGAACUCCAUGCCGAACCCCCUAGACUGCUGCAGCGUCUGCGCGAAGGCCUGGUACUUCCUGAUGUCGGCAUCGCUCACGCUCCUCCUCGCGUACUUCAUCGACUCCUCGAAGUGAGCCGCCUUAAUCUCUGCCAUCUCCUCAUCUUUCUGGCCGCCGUCCACAUCCAUGGUGUCUUUCCCCAUCCUCUGCCUCUCCAUGUCCUUUUCAAUGUCCUCCCUAAUGGCGUACUUGCACGCUCUCUGGCAGAUCUCCGUGAUGUCGGCACCGCUGAAGCUGGCGGUGAACCUUGCCAGCGCGCCGAGGUCAACGUCCUUGGCCACGGGAGACUUCCUGAGGCAGGCCUUGAAGAUCUGGUGCCGCGAGGCCUCAUCUGGCAAGGGGAUGUAGAUGAGCUGGUCCAGGCGGCCAGGACGGAGCAACGCCGAGUCAAUUAUGUCCGGCCUAUUUGUGGCGCCGAUGAUGAAGACCGUCUUCUUGGCGUUCAUGCCGUCAAUCUCGGUGAGAAGCUGGUUCAAGACCCUGUCCGCCGCGCCGCCGGCGUCGCCCAUCCUGCCGCCCCUCUGGGUUGCGAUGGAGUCGAGCUCGUCAAAGAACAGGACGCACGGCGCAGACUGACGCGCCUUGUCGAAGAUCUCGCGCACGUUGGCCUCGCUCUCGCCGAACCACAUGGUGAGAAGCUCUGGCCCCUUGAUGCUGAUGAAGUUGGCCUGGCACUCGUUGGCGAUCGCCUUCGCCAGCAAGGUCUUGCCGCAUCCUGGUGGCCCGUAAAAGAGGACGCCCUUGGACGGCGACAUGCCAAACUUCUCGAAUUUCUCCGGGUGCUCGACCGGGUACUGGACGGUCUCUUGCAGCUCCCUCUUGACGCCGUCGAGGCCGCCAAUAUCGGUCCAGCUGACGUUGGGCACCUCCACGACGGUUUCACGAAGCGCAGACGGGUUCGUGCCGACGAGAGCCGUUUUAAGGUGGUCAUUGGUGACGGCCAUGGAGUUCAAGAUCUCGGCAUCAAUGGUGUCGUCCUCUAAGUCGAUCACGUCCAUCUUCUCCCUGAUGCACUGCAGCGCCGCCUCGGUGCAGAGCGCGGCCAAGUCGGCGCCCACGUAGCCAUGUGUAUCCUUGGCAAUCAGCUCAAGGUUGACGUCCUCAUCCAGCUUCAUGCUCUUGGUGUGGAUGCGGAGCACUUCGAGACGCCCGACCUUGUCCGGCACGCCGAUGUCGAUCUCGCGAUCAAACCUUCCGAAGCGCCUCAAGGCAGGGUCGAUGCUGUUGGGACGGUUCGUCGCGCCCAUGACGAUGACGUGCGCGCGGGCCUUCAUGCCAUCCAUCAGUGUCAGCAGCUGGGAGACGAUGCGCCUCUCGACCUCGCCGUGAGUCUUCUCCCUGUUCGGAGCAAUGGAGUCGAUCUCGUCGAUGAAGAUGAUAGAGGGCGCAUUCUUCUCAGCCUCCUCGAAGGCCUUCCUCAGGUUGCUCUCGCUCUCUCCGGCCAUCUUCGACAUUAUCUCUGGCCCAUUGAUAAGGAAGAAGAAGGCCCCGGUCUCGUUGGCCACCGCACGGGCGAUCAACGUCUUGCCGGACCCUGGAGGGCCGUACAGGAGGAUGCCCUUGGGAGGCUUGACGCCAAUGCUCUUGAAGAUCUGCGGAUGCCUGAGUGGCAGCUCGACGAGCUCCCUGAUCAGAGUCAGUGGUUUCCCCAUGCCACCCACGUCAUCGUAGCCGACGUCGUCAAGCCUCUCCUCGUCCUCCCGCUUGACCGGCUCACCCUCGCAGAAUAUCUCCGUGUUGGGCGCCACGACGCAGUAGUCCACCGCGGGGUCGAUCUCCAUGACCUUGAACUCGACGCUCCGCAUGCCGCCGCGCACGAGGAAGAGGUCGCCCUUGUGGACCGGGCGGAAGGCGUCCACGAAGUAGGGCUUGAGGUAGGCGCCGAAGAGGUUGCCCGUGAUGCCCUCGACGGUGUCGUCCAGAGGGAGGAUGUGCACGCGCUUGCCGAACUUGGCGUCGUGGCACAGGUGCACGGACACGACGUCGGCGAUGCGCACACGCAGGUUGGAGCGGGCCACCUUGUUGAUCCUGAGCUUGUGCCCCUCGCAGGUGUCGUCGGCCAGUGCCAUGCAGACCGUGUUGUGGCGACGUUUGCCCUUGAGUAGCACGAUGUCGCCCUGGAAUAUGGAGAGCUUCUCCAUUGUGGCCGGGUGGAGGUUGCACACGGAGUUGUCGUCGUUGGUGGCGGCCUCCUCCACCACCAGCCGGUUCGCCGCCUUCUUUGACGUCGCCGCGCUCGCCAUCGCCUUCAACUCUCGUUGAUCGACUUGCUGCGUGGUCUCUCGUGUAUUACUACUCUCGUUGGAUGUUGUCGAGCGCUGAUUUGCGUUGGUGUUGUGGUGAGGUGAGGUGGAGACGUGGGGUUUGCACCCUUUAUUGAAGGCACGGCCGACUCCGGUUGGAAGGCCGUGAUCGUUCGCGUCAUAUUCGUACUCUUUGCCCGUGGUCCGUGCCGUAAUAGGACGCUAACUCUUUUCCUACUACCUUGGCACGAUCGGGUCGAAAGAACCCUUCGAACUCGGAAUAUUUGCACCUGGCUGCGCUAACAAUGGCGUGUCCGUGCUGGAGGAGACUGCGGUCGUUCGUGCGAUACGAGACGGACAGCACCGAGCCGCUCAGUCGCCGGCUGUCGGGUGCCAAGGAGGAGGCGGUCUCCGACGGCGAGGCACUCGGGGGACUCAUCGAGCGCGUGGCGUCCCUCCAGCGCGCCCUCGAGUCGGCGGUGCUGCAGCGUAACGUGGCCGUGGCACUGAUGCACGAGGCCCAGCGGCACGCGGAGGAGGCCGAGGCUGCGGUCGGGGCCGCUGCGAGGGCCGGCGAGCUUGCCGCGGCGGAAGUGCGCGAGAAGACGGAGCAGAGCGCGGCGACGGACGCGCGCAUCAGGGAGCUCGAGAGGGAGAUGCUAGUGCUACGUGAUGGCGAACAAUGGGCGCUGGAGGCCGCCGCCGCGGAGACGCGGGAGAAGGAGGGGGAGCCAUGCAUGGGAGGGGCGUGCGCGUCAGGAAGCUCGUGGAGGAGAUGCUACCUGAUGAGCAAUGGGUGGCAGACGUGAACGAUUCGUCCUGAGCUUUGCCAUUGCGGCAUCGACAUGUUUCGAUUUUUCUUCACACUAGAUGACUCGCCAAUGGCGCAAAGGCCGGUAGCAAGCCAAGUAUUUUAAGAGUGAUGAUAGAAAAACUCAGACACAGAUCUAAAUAAUGAGUACUUACUGCUUGUUAAUGUCUCUGUUCAUGAUUACUGUUUCUCCGAACAGUCUGUGCUAGAUGAUAGUGCUAUGUCCCUUGAGUGGAAGGUGGACGCUGCCAGGUAGGGCAUGCCCCUUCUUUGCUUAGCAUAUUUGCUGUUGUUGGUGAGUACUCGAUGUUUGAAACAGAGAAAGUAGUAAAAACAGAUAAUUAUAGAUAAGGGGGCAUUAUGCAUAUUAAUAGAUCGGUGAGGAACAACAACAGAGGUUAUAUAGGUAAAAGCAUAGGCUGUUCAAAAGCAACAGAUAGCAUUGUCGAAAAACAGAGGAAGGUUCCAUCCUAUUACAUAGCUUGUUUAGUAGUCCUUAGAAUGCUAGAUGAUAUUUAGAUACGACUUCCGAUGCUGUCGAUGGUUCAUCUAAAGACAAUGCAUGAUGAGAACCAGGCGCUGCUUUGUGGUGACCUUGAAACGAAAGGCACAUAUGUCUCCUUCAUGGAUUUUUGCAAGACGGCGGAACUCAGACCAGUUGGUUGUUACGAUGGCUCUCUUAUCGGUUCCUAGCAUGAUGCGACAAUUGGCGUGUAGAACACUGUUUGCAAGCCUGACCUUGAGCGCAUCAUAAUCUGGGUCAAUGUAAUCUUUUAGUUUGCUUUCAGUGUAGUUGACCUGAAAAUACUGAUGAGAAAAAAGGAAUUAAUUGAAUGGACUGGAGAGUGUCUUGUCACUCUUACACUGAGAAGGUUUAAAUAUGGAUAGUGAGAACAUUUAUCAGUAAAUAAUGGUAGGAAGCAAAAGAAGGAUGCAGAGCAUGCUACAUUCCUUCCUACGUGGAGUAUAAGAUGUAAAUUGGUUGUUUCUGUAUGUAUGGUACUCUAGUGAAGGAGAACAAUAGGAAGGAAGAAAACAUGUAUAUCAGACUGUAUGAAUAUUAGUUUCUAAAGUUAAAUGUAGAAAGUUGAUGAGAAUUGUUGUGCUGGUGCUAAUAGCAGUGUAUGCAGUUUUGUUGUUGUUAUUUUGCAAUAAAGUCAAUUUGGUGAAUCAAAAGCAUACUGCAGGUUGUACUUCUGAUGAUUAGUCAGGUAAGUAGUUUAGUUGCGAGGCAUAAGUAAAGAUAAUUCUUUUUUCAAUGAAGUGGAAGAAAGGAGUUCACCAUCCGUUGGCCUGGCUUUGUGAAUGUUUUGUUGAUGGUGCAGACAUAGUAUUUGAUAUCUGGUUUUUUGCGGCGGAACAUGGCAAGCAACUUGUUCACAUGGUGCUGAUAGAGCUUCACUUCAUUGCCCCAGUGACAGUACCUUUCGAGUUCUCCGCGGUAUUGGAUAGCAAGGGGUGGUCCUGAAUUUAGUUUCGUUUUGGUAAGAUCGAAAUGAAGCAGCACAUGUAAAAAGGCUGAAUACUAAUUAUUGUUAGGAGACUAAGCAUUCAUCAAGAGAAAAGUAAAAUUAAGCUUUAAACCUAUGGUACGAAGAAUAUAGUAAGCAAGAGAAUAUCAGAACAGGAUAAUAAGCAUUGUAGCCUAGCAUUGGCUCACCGCGAAUGAUAUACUCCAGAUGCUCAUAUUCUUCAUCCUGCAUAAGUAUCGUGAGAAUUGUUAGUGUGAAAAAUCAGAAACUUGUUUGCUGGCAGUAACAAUUGUGGGCGUACAAUUGAAUUAUGCACUUUAAAAGAGCAGUAAAAUGGCAUUUAAAAUAAAAUGACCUAAUAGUUUUUAUGAUCCGCUAUACUUCUCCGACGCCAAUUUUCUGCCUUAGAACGAAAAAAAAA